rnacentral:rRNA from 1 species
UACGGAGGGUGCAAGCGUUAUCCGGAUUUACUGGGUUUAAAGGGUGCGUAGGCGGGCCAUUAAGUCAGUGGUGAAAGCUCCGAGCUUAACUCGGAAACUGCCAUUGAUACUAUUGGUCUUGAAUUCGGUCGAGGUUGGCGGAAUGUGUCGUGUAGCGGUGAAAUGCUUAGAUAUGACACAGAACACCGAUUGCGAAGGCAGCUCACAAAAACUGUAACUGACGCUGAGGCACGA